rnacentral:rRNA from 1 species
UUCGCGGCCUAUCAGCUUGUUGGUGGGGUAAUGGCCUACCAAGGCGACGACGGGUAGCCGGCCUGAGAGGGUGACCGGCCACACUGGGACUGAGACACGGCCCAGACUCCUACGGGAGGCAGCAGUGGGGAAUAUUGGACAAUGGGCGAAAGCCUGAUCCAGCAACGCCGCGUGAGGGAUGACGGCCUUCGGGUUGUAAACCUCUUUCAGUAGGGACGAAGCUAACGUGACGGUACCUACAGAAGAAGCACCGGCCAACUACGUGCCAGCAGCCGCGGUAAUACGUAGGGUGCGAGCGUUGUCCGGAAUUAUUGGGCGUAAAGGGCUCGUAGGCGGUUUGUCACGUCGGGAGUGAAAACUCGGGGCUUAACUCCGAGCCUGCUUCCGAUACGGGCUGACUAGAGGUAUGCAGGGGAGAACGGAAUUCCUGGUGUAGCGGUGAAAUGCGCAGAUAUCAGGAGGAACACCGGUGGCGAAGGCGGUUCUCUGGGCAUUACCUGACGCCGAGGAGCGAAGGUGUGGGGAGCGAACAGGAUUAGAUACCCUGGUAGUCCACACCGUAAACGUUGGGCGCUAGGUGUGGGACUCAUCCCACGAGUUCCGUGCCGCAGCUAACGCAUUAAGCGCCCCGCCUGGGGAGUACGG